rnacentral:rRNA from 1 species
UGGGGAAUAUUGGUCAAUGGGCGGAAGCCUGAACCAGCCAUGCCGCGUGAAGGACUAAGGCCCUACGGGUCGUAAACUUCUUUAGACGCAGAGCAAUAAGGUCCACGUGUGGACCGAUGAGAGUAGCAUACGAAUAAGCAUCGGCUAACUCCGUGCCAGCAGCCGCGGUAAUACGGAGGAUGCAAGCGUUAUCCGGAUUCAUUGGGUUUAAAGGGUGCGUAGGCGGCUUGGUAAGUCAGCGGUGAAAUUCCAGUGCUCAACAUUGGCCGUGCCGUUGAUACUGCUGGGCUUGAAUGCGGAUGCCGUGGGAGGAAUGUGUGGUGUAGCGGUGAAAUGCAUAGAUAUCACACAGAACACCGAUUGCGAAGACAUCUCACGAAUCCGCAAUUGACGCUGAGGCACGAAAGUGUGG